UACCGCCCUAGUUCUGACCGUAAACUAUGCCAUCUAGCGAUCCGAUGGGGUAUUGUUGCCUUGUCGAGGAGCUUCCCGGAAACGAAAGUCUUUCGGUUCCUGGGGUAGUAUGGUUGCAAAGCUGAAACUUAAAGAAAUUGACGGAAUGGCACCACCAGGAGUGGAGCCUGCGGCUUAAUUUGACUCAACACGGGAAAACUCACCCGGCCCGGACACCGUAAGGAUUGACAGAUUGAAAGCUCUUUCUCGAUUUGGUGGUUGGUGGUGCAUGGCCGUUCUUAGUUGGUGGAGCGAUUUGUCUGGUUUAUUCCGAUAACGAGCGAGACUCUAGCCUGCUAAAUAGUGGCUGGAUUUUCACGUCCAGUCUACUUCUUAGAGGGAUAAGCGGUGUUUAGCCGCACGAGAUUGAGCGAUAACAGGUCUGUGAUGCCCUUAGAUGUCCGGGGCUGCACGCGCGCUACAAUGGAAGAAUCAGCUGGCCUAUCCAUUGCCGAAAGGCAUUGGUAAACCGUUGAAACUCUUCCGUGACCGGGAUAGGGAAUUGUAAUUAUUUCCCUUGAACGAGGAAUUCCUAGUAAGUGUGAGUCAUCAGCUCACGCUGAUUACGUCCCUG
rnacentral:rRNA from 1 species